GACCAGGUAGCUCAAUUGGUUAGAGCGUCCGUCUAAAGACCGGAGGGUCCCGGGUUUGAACCCCGGUCUUGCUG